AGAUUGAACGCUGGCGGCAGGCCUAACACAUGCAAGUCGAGCGGCAGCACGGGUACUUGUACCUGGUGGCGAGCGGCGGACGGGUGAGUAAUGCCUAGGAAUCUGCCUGGUAGUGGGGGAUAACGCUCGGAAACGGACGCUAAUACCGCAUACGUCCUACGGGAGAAAGCAGGGGACCUUCGGGCCUUGCGCUAUCAGAUGAGCCUAGGUCGGAUUAGCUAGUUGGUGAGGUAAUGGCUCACCAAGGCGACGAUCCGUAACUGGUCUGGAGAGAUGAUC
rnacentral:rRNA from 1 species